rnacentral:rRNA from 1 species
AGGCUUAACACAUGCAAGUCGAGCGGGCGUAGCAAUACGUCAGCGGCAGACGGGUGAGUAACGCGUGGGAACAUACCUUUUGGUUCGGAACAACACAGGGAAACUUGUGCUAAUACCGGAUAAGCCCUUACGGGGAAAGAUUUAUCGCCGAAAGAUUGGCCCGCGUCUGAUUAGCUAGUUGGUGAGGUAAUGGCUCACCAAGGCGACGAUCAGUAGCUGGUCUGAGAGGAUGAUCAGCCCCCUUGGGACUGAGACACGGCCCAA